UCACCAAUCGAGCCCUGCUCGGUAUUGGGCCUCGUCCUCACCGGACGGGCCUCGAAGCCCCCGGCCGUCCGGUCCCGCUUCAGGCGUAGCAGAGCUUUUGCAGCCUCGCCUUGGAAGCCGGUGGCCGCGCCGCGCCGCGCAACAGAAACUUUGACAUCAAGGUUGACCUCGGAUCAGGUAGGGAUACCCGCUGAACUUAA
rnacentral:misc_RNA from 1 species